CAUACUUCGAGACCCAUGUACCUCAAAGCUGCACUUCGGCCCUGGGAUGAAAACAGCACGCAGACAGCAGGGCAUCACCCGCAUUUAAGGGACACAGGGAAGUAGAGCUGAGCUUUGCCUUCUAAGUCAUAGUCAGGAGCACAAAUGGACAUUGAAACAAGCAGGCACAACAAUGGGCACAUGGGCCUGACACACAGGUUUCUGCUCGAUGCCACCUCUGGCAAGCACUGGGGAUACAAACGGAGAGAUCCUUCACCCUCCAAAGCCAAUGACAUUGAGCAAGAGCAACUUGUAAAUUGCUUCCAGCCACUUCGAGACAACAAGGGAACAAACAACUAUCAACAAGUAUUACCCUCGUUGCUUCACACGAAAGCACUUAUGAGACUGAAGGGAUCCUGACAGGCAACUGGAAAGUAUUUCUUUUUAUGCUAAAUUUAUUAUAUUUAAGACCAAUUUUCCAUGAUUUAAAAUGUGCUAUGUAAUAAAGGGCUGGAAUGCC